AGUACACCCCGUCAGCUUUUAAACACUUGUCAUUUGCAUAAAAUCAAGGCAACAUAACCUUGUCGACGGUGAUCACAUGAUCAUUAAUCGAUUAAAUUCUCAGGGCGGGGUGUAAUUCCCCACCGGCGGUAAUAAUCAGGCGGUCGAUUUAUUCGUCACCUAUUUCAGCCCGCGAGCGCCUAAGUGGCAUAUGAUUUAAUAAAGUCAUCACUUAGGGUCAGCAGAUCUGGUGAAUGCUAUGCCAUAUAGCCUAGUCCAGAGCCGACGGUAAUGACAUAUUCACGAAUAUGUCU
rnacentral:misc_RNA from 1 species